ACCUGGAGCAUUCUGGAAAUGGGACACCCUCUUCUUUCUGAACUGAAACAGGACCAUGCUAAACCCUGAAGUGCAGAUAGUCAUGUUCUGUCCUGUGUGAACAACUACAAUAUCAGAAGUUCCCCUUCUCAUAGAAACAAGGCUGAAGAUGCUCAGCAGAGCAAGAGCACCCCACCAGCAAAGUGGAGAUGUGUGCUCUGAUUAAAAGCUUGUUGAAGCUAAUGGCAAAACUUCAGUUGACUUCAUGAGCAUUCAGAUAAUUUCUGGUGACAAUCAUCAGUUUUCCAUCAAAGUUGUAAGUAAAAUUACAUUUUCCCAUGCAUACUGAUCACCAGUGUUGCUGCACGUUUAAUGAGUUUUUGAUUAUUUCAGUAGGAUAUCAAUUGGCUUUUUUUAGGUUGACUGAGAUGCAUGGACAGCUAAAAUAUCCUGUCUGAGCCCACCAAAACUUGCUAUGGAUGAUCAGUAGGAACACAGUACUGUUUCUCCCAGUGACUGUCACACAGGCAGGAUUUUCAUCUGUUUCUUGCUUUUUCCUAGCCUUCGGUCUCAUUCCUGUUGAUGUCAUCCUUGCUUAUUAACACCACAUGUUUGCUAACAGCCAUACCUCAGUAGGUCCUGUGGUUGUGCCAUGGCUUAUCACUUCUGAUAGUAAUAGAGAUGGAUCAGCUAUUUGUACCAAAAAAACAAGUGCAGAAGGUCUGAGAAUCACCUAAUAGAAGCGCUCCUGAGUUAUGCCAAAGGUUUAAUUAACCAGUGCUAUAAUAAGCAGGUACUCUCACUCUUCUGAGUGAGGAUUAUCCACUUUCUGUCUUUUGGAGCAGAAGAAAUUAGGCAUUGUCGUUAGUGUGACAAGCACUUGGUUAACAUGUGGAACUGAAAAGUUGAGCAGAGGUCUCAUAAAAUAGUUUCUUCAUCUGGAAGACCAGGAAUUGCUUGAUCUGCUCCCUAGAUAUCUACAGUCAUAGCUGAAGAUCUCCUUCCAAGGGGAUGUACAUGAUUCUGCAAUCCUGGGCUCAUUUAGUUGUCUUUUUGUUGUUGUGACUAAAUAGUAUGAUCAUAUACACACUCAGCUAAAGCCCCCGGCAUUAAGUUUGAAAGAACUUGUAGAUAGGAACAACAUCUCCCUGUGUAGCAAGUUUUACUUCACUGGUUUUUAUUCAUGAGCUUUUACAUGACAGCUUACUGCAGCCUGAUUUUCUUACUCACUGAAGUGAUUAAAGCAAUAUCACCCUGGAGACUCCUUGUUUGUCUGCACAUAUCACUGCCACUGUCUUAUCUUCCUCCAAAGCAGGGGCAGAGGACUGGUGUGCUGGAAAUUUGGCAUGAUGAGGUUUGUUCUCACUUCAUAAUAGAGCCAUUCUGUUUUCUCUCUUUUAGGUUUGCUGAAGUUUCUUUCUGGUAACUUUAUUAAAGAAUUAAGAAAAUGGUAACUAUUAUCUGGAAGAGCACAGUAUAUCAUAGAAUUGUAGAAUCAUUUGAGUUGGAAGGGACCCUUAAAGGCAUUUGGUCCAACUCCUCUGCAACAAAGAGGGGUACCUGCAGCUCCAUUAGGUGCCCAGAGUUCGGUCUGAAAAGUGCCAUGAAGCAGUACUUCACACUCACAGUGGUUCAAAGAGAGCUAAAUAGAUUGUAUGGAUAGAGCAGUAUUGCCCUGUAGUGCCAACACAUGCACUGUGAUACAGAAAGUGCUGUCUGGCACCCUGUGCUGCAGAGCAGGCUCAGGACUUUGACAUCUAUGCACAGCAAUAAUUGCAGCUUUUAGUCCACAUCAUACAUAUGUUGAUGGAGGAAGGAUAGGAAGGAGGGGAGAAAAAAAAGACUGAAGUAAACACUUAUGUACUUACGUGCAUGAUGAGCUUCUGCUGGUAGCUCAACUAAAUCAAUCUGCUGAGCAGAUACUUGCUAGAAUGCAUAUGGAGUAUGGGCAUGUAAAUGGGUUGAAAAGUACUAGUAGGACCACUAGUGCUCAGAUCUGGUUACUUAAGCACUGGUUUUCUCAAAUGCCUUAGCGUACUCAGCUUCCCUGAAGGGAGGAUUUCUGUGGGUAAUCUGUGGAACCACUUAUCAGUAGGUAGUCUGCCUGAGGAUAUGGAAUCUGCAGUUCUUAAUGUGGCCUUUUCCAUCUCCAUGUCCUGCUUGCAAGGGAUUACGUGGCAUUGCUCAAAGAACAAUCAAAUGGCCCUCUUAUGCAAAAAAUAUGCUUUUUUUUCCAGCCUUUAUCUUUUGUAUUUUUAUUUUAUUUUACUUUUUUAACAAAUCCAGGACAUUUUUAAAAAGCUCAACCCUAGAAGUAAGUAAAUUCACAUUGUCAGAUUAUUUCUGGAUAUGAAUACCUAAAGUGCAGCUUGCAAAUUGCUCUUCCUCUGCUCAUUUUUCCACCCUGUCAUUGGACUAAAUGCUAAAAAAUGUUAUGUCAUUACCUUUUGUGUUCAAGCUCAGACAAGUCCUAGUGUCUUCCAGAGCUCCUCUGGAGACUCAUCUUUCCUACAUUGCUGCAGCAGUAGAGAAAAGGAGAGAGCUGUGUUCUUGUUCAUUAAUCUGGUUAUUGAAUGAGAUUUCUCUCAUGAGAAAGCUCUGUAGAACCCCGUAGAAUACUUUUUAUUUUCUAGAAUAAUUCACUUUUUUUUGAAAGCAAAUUGUCACGCCUAAAAGAUACAAGUGCUUUAAUUAAGGAUGGAUGUCUUUCUAAAGAAAUUUCUCCAGCUCAGCUGGGCACCACUAAGCUCAAAGCAGGAACCGGACUGAGAACUUCCAGCAACAGACCAUUGCCUCAGCUGGGCAGCACAGCCACACUGGGAGGACCUUCCCAGCCCCUAUGCUGCAGCACUUAGUUUUGGAAGAUUCCUGCUACAGCACAUUAUUUUGGAAAAGAAUCUGAGACUGAAAGAUGAGCUGUCUUUGCUGCUCUUUAGAACAGAAGGGUACAGCAUGACGGGACUCAUGCAAGGCAUCCUCAAUCUUCUGUAGCAAACGCUGCUGGCUGCUAUGAACAACUCAGCCAUAGACGGAUGGAUAGUUUUUUUUGCUGUUGUCCAUUGUCCAUCUAUCUCAGGUGAAUAAGAAAGAGAAGUAAGAGGAAAUAGAGAUGUUCAUUCUGGUGAAAAUAAAAUAUUUAAAGCUAAACUUAAAAAAUAAAAAAAGGGGGGAAGGGUUAGGGAAGAAAUUCUCUCAAAUUAGUUUAAGAUGUAGUUCCUCCUCUCCCCAGAAAUAAUUCAUUGAAAUAUUUACAAAUAAUGGGAAAAGAUAACUGUUUGGCCUCAGCAGUGAGGGAGCAUGUGUGAACAGCAGCAAUUUAGGACAUUACCAGUAAUGACCUAGGUGCAUGGACCUAAUUACAUGAAUGAGGCUUAGCACUUACAGUCUUUGGAUAGAUGAAAGUUGAGGAA